rnacentral:rRNA from 1 species
UACGAGGGGGGCAAGCGUUGUUCGGAAUUAUUGGGCGUAAAGGGUGCGUAGGCGGUUUGGUAAGUCUUAUGUGAAAUCUACAGGCUCAACUUGUAGUCUGCAUGAGAAACUGCCGGGCUUGAGUAUGGGAGAGGUGAGUGGAAUUCCCGGUGUAGAGGUGAAAUUCGUAGAUAUCGGGAGGAACACCGGUGGCGAAGGCGGUUCUCUGGGCCUGUACUGACGCUGAGGAGCGAAAGCGUGGGGAGCGAACAGG